GGUUUCAUAGUGUAGCAGUUAGCACGUCUGCUUUACAUGCAGAAGGUUCUGGUUUCGCACCCCAGUGGAGCCA
rnacentral:tRNA from 1 species